AGUGAACGCUGGCGGCAGGCCUAACACAUGCAAGUCGAACGGUAGCACAGAGGAGCUUGCUCCUUGGGUGACGAGUGGCGGACGGGUGAGGAAUACAUCGGAAUCUACCCUGUCGUGGGGAUAACGUAGGGAAACUUACGCUAAUACCGCAUACGAACUGAGGUUGAAAGCAGGGGACCGCAAGGCCUUGCGCGAUUGGAUGAGCCGAUGUCCGAUUAGCUAGUUGGUAAGGUAAAGGCUUACCAAGGCGACGAGCGGUAGCUGGUCUGAGAGGAGGAUCAGCCACACUGGAACUGAGACACGGUCCAGACUCCUACGGGAGGCAGCAGUGGGAAAUAUUGGACAAUGGGCGCAAGCCUGAUCCAGCCAUGCCGCGUGUGUGAAGAAGGCCUUCGGGUUGUAAAGCACUUUUGUUGGGAAAGAAAAGCGGUCGGUUAAUACCCGGUCGUACUGACGGUACCCAAAGAAUAAGCACCGGCUAACUUCGUGCCAGCCGCCGCGGUAAAAC
rnacentral:rRNA from 1 species